GCUGCGAUAGUUUGAUCGUACAAAGGUAGCAUAAUAAUUAGUUUUUUAAUUGGGAACUGGAAUGAAAGGUCGAACGAGAAAAAAACUGUCUCAAUUUAAAUUUAAUUAGAAUUUUAUUUUUAAGUAAAAAAGCUUAAAUAAAUUUAAAAGACGAGAAGACCCUAUAGAGUUUUAUAUUUAUGGGUUUAUUUUUUAGUUUUAGAAUUAGUGUUUAAAAUUAAUUUAUUGAAUAUUUAAUUGGGGUGAUUAAAAAAUUAAAUGAACUUUUUUUAUAAAUUUAACAUUAAUAAAUGAAUAAGUGAUCCAUAUUUAAUGAUUAAAAGAUUAAAUUACCUUAGGGAUAA
rnacentral:rRNA from 1 species